CAAAGCAUAAUGCAACCUUCGAUUUCUCGACUUGUAAAAACGGCGAUGCUGCUGGAGCAUCUGCCGUCCAUGGUUGCUGGUAUUUGGAGUGAAGACAGUAGCCGGCAGCUUGCCGCAACUUCUGAAUAUAGGACGUUGCUAACACUUGAGCGCUGCCCUCCGAUUAAAGAAAUUAUCCAAUCUGGUGUUGUUCCUCGAUUUGUGGAGUUUUUAGGUAGGGAGGAUUUUCCAGAACUUCAGGUU